GGAAUUUUCUGUAGGAAACAAGAGCGAGAUGGGAAAAUAGAUGAAAUUGAUGAAAUCUUAACAUUAUCUUAAGAUUAUUGUCCUCAGAAAGCAUCUCAUACCAAUAGUCCUAACACAGGAAAUUCAGACAUUCAUGAUUGUCAAUAAGUCCUAGAGCAGUUUUCUACCCUUAUGAUGCACUUUGUUUAUUGUGGAUUGUUGUACAGGUGUGGGGCAGAUUCAAGACAUUCAUCAUUGCCUAGACUAGAAGCCACGUUCUCCCUGCCCUUCUUUCCCUUGAGCCUGCCCCCCCAGGUUUGACUCCUAAGGACUUCCUGGAGGUGAAGCAUUGUAGAACGAGGAGGUCUCUGGAGAACUUCUAACACUCUCAUUUUACCAGUGAGGAAAGUGAGGCUCCUCGAGAUCAGAUUGACUUACUGGAGUUCUCCCAUUGUGUUAGGGUCACUGCCAGGUUACAGAACCAACUCCCCUUUACAGGAUUCUGCUCAGUGCAAAUAAAUACAUGAGCAUUGGACAAGUAGAAUUUGGAAUAUAGGGGCCAGCCCUGUGGUACAGCUGUUUAAUUCCCCUGCCUGCAGGGCUGGCAUCCCAUCUAGGUGCGGCUUGAGUCCCAGCUGCUCCACCUGCAACCCAGCUCUCUGCUGUGGCCUGGGAAAGCAGAACAAGAUGGUCCAAUCCUUGGGCCCUCCUUGUACCCUUGCGGAAGACCUGGAAGAAGCUCCUGAUUCCUGGCUUGGGUCAGCUCAACUCUCGCAUUUGAGGAGCGAACCAGCAGAUGAAAAAUCUCUCUCUCUCUCUCUCUGGUACUCUGCCUUUCAAAUAAAUUAAUUUUUUUUAAAAAAACAGCCCUCUAAAUUAAAUGAAUAUGGAUGAGAUAGUACAUAAUAAAAAGCCCCUGCAUGCACCUGGGAGACCAGGAAGAAGCUCCUGGCUCCUGGCUUCAUAUUGGCGCAGCUCUGGUUUUUGUGGCCAUCUGGGUAGUGACCAGCAAAUGGAAGGCCUCUCUCUCUGCCUCUCCUUCUCUCUGUGUGUAAUUCUGACUUUUAAGUAAACAUACAAAUCUUUAAAUAAAAUAAAAGUGGUUCCUUUGAAAACAAUACAACACUGUCAUCUUUGGUGCAUUGUUUUGUUUGUGCAGGACACCUGCCAUUGCCUAGAGUCUACAUACAACCUAUCCCAGCUGGUGUUCAAGGUCAUUCUCUAUCCUGAUCCUAAAAUGGCAUGGUCUCUUAAGAGUUGUUAUAGUAAUAAUAUUGAUAAUUCAUACAUGAAAUAAUGGUAUUUGUUUUAUGGGAUUUAUGUGGAGAAUGAUACAGUAAGUUAUAGAAAAUAGAAAGAUAAAAAUCCUGAGGGGCCAGUGCUGUGGCACAGUGGGUUAACGCCCUGGCCUGAAGCACCGGCAUCCCAUAUGGGCGUCAGUUCGAGACCCAGCUGCUCCACUUCCUGUCCAGCUCUCUGCUAUGGCCUUGGAAAGCAGUGGAGGAUGGCCCAGGUCCUUGGGCCCCUGCACCCACAUGGGAAAUUUGGAAGAAGCUCCUGGCUCCUGGCUUCGGAUCGGCACAACUCUGGCCAUUGUGGCCAUCUGGGGAGUGAACCAUCGGAUGGAAGACUCAAUCUCUCUCUCUCUCUCUCUGCCUCUCCUCUCUCUCUGUAACUCUGACUUUAAAAUAAGUAAAUCUUUUUUAAAAAUACUGAAAAACAUGUACUGUCACAGAACUCAAAAGCAUAGCAAUGUACUUCAAAAUGUAUAUGGGAAGUGGGAUGAAAAGAUAAGCUUGGUUUGCUGCCAAAUAUUUUGAAAUCCAUGCAUAUGAGUGGUUUUCUAAGUCUCAUGGGAAAUGUACAUUAAGCAUGGAUGUCAAUUUUUUUCUGACUCCAGAAUAAAUGUAUGCUUUCAUUCCAUUUCCACGUACUUAUUGAAGUGCUCUCAUAAAUAGAUCUUAAUGGAAAAAUGGGUAACAAGCAUCAAAGAAUAGUACAUUUACUAUGAAGUUUCUUAUCUCAGCUGCAACAUUAUUUAAGUGAAUACUACCUACUUUAUUAUUAGGAAUACUAUAACCAAAAAAUAUCCCAUAAUGGUGAUUUUUUAAAAGAUUUAUUCAUUUAUUUGAAAGGCAGAGUUAGAGAGAGGCAGAGGAGGAGAGCGAAGUCUUCCAUCUGCUGGUUCACUCCCCAAAUGGCUGCAACAUCCAGAGUUGGGCCAAUCCAAAGCCAGGAGCCAGGAGCUUCCUCUAGAUCUCCCUCAUGGGUGCAGAGGGCCAAGGAGUUGGGCCAUAUUCUACUGAUGCCCCAGGCCAUAGCAGAGAGCUGAAUCAGAAGUGGAACAGCCGGGACUUGAACCCUGGGCCCUAUGGGAUGCCAGAACUGCAGGUUGUGGCUUCAGCUGCUAAGCCACAGCACCGGCCCCUGCAAUGGUGAUUUUUAAAUGACUUUCUUUACUUGUGGGAUAAUCUAUCAAUAGAAAAUGUGUCCAGGCAGCAUGUUGCAGUAGAUGCGGAUGUAAAGGUACCCAUAAUUUAAGUGGACAAUUAUUUCAUCAAAUACUUGUCCAGAGCAUCGAGCAAAAUAGUUAAGUGUAAGUGGAUUUCUUUUUUUAUGCUAAUUCUCAUUCCUCUGAAUAUUCCCCAGUAAGUACCAGCUAUCAUUCCUAAUAGAAACAGGUAUUUCAAUUAAUGCAACCAUUAAAAAACCAGAGAACACUAAAAGAUCAUGAAGGUUUUUAUAUUUAUGCUCAAAACUUAUAUGAUCCUCAUCCAGGAAAAUAUCAUCCCCAAAGCCAAAAAUAAAAAUCACCACCAGAAAAAUUGUUUAAAGUAAAUGUACAAUCAGAGAUGUGGUGCUUGAUCUUUUAUUUUCCUUUCAGGGUAGGUCUUUCUCUUCAUGCUUAGUUCCUAAAAUAGUAAAUGACUCUUAAUAAGUACUCUGUUUUAGGAAGAAAAAAUUAUGAUAGACACCCUUGAGUGAAAUCUACCACACAAGGGAAUUUGUCCACUUGUUGCAGAGUAGGAUAUAUCAUUUUUUUUUUUUUUAAAAAGUACUUUAGUAGUAGAAUAUAGUUUACAAACCAGAAUGAACUAGAACAUUUAAAAUCCCAUUUCCUCCAGCCCCCUAGAUAACUGCUUUAAUGAAGUUCCUUGUUUAGAGGAGGCCUCAUUUCCAUUACAGAUUUCUAACUUUCAUUUUCAAAGCUUUCAUUGUUCAAAGAGGCAACGGGAAAAAGCAAAAACCAAACAACUGACUGUGACUUCUGUAAAGCUACCUUUCCAGUGAUACCCUAUACUGGCCUUCAUUACCUUUCUGGUGCAUUAGUUUAAGGAUUUGUACAGCUCUGAGUAAAUUUCACCCUAUGCCCUUAUUGCUUUAAUUAAAAUCUUACAUCCUCCUCAAUAUUCCAUGCCAGACCACCUCUUCUUUCUUUAUGAAAUACCCUAUGCUGCUUACUCUUUAAUUCUUAUAUUUUUUCCUCCAUCAUUUUUAUUUUUCCUUCCUUUUCUCAAUAUCUGUUGUCCCAAACUUCCUUACCCUAGAAUAUCUGCCUCUGUGCAGCCCAGGAAUCCCCAUCCUCUCUCCCUAUUUUCUGUUUUAAUCUAACCUAAGUAGAAAACUCCAAAAUAUGUGACUAUUACUUUAUGAACAACACUCAGUUUGAAAUACUAAAGAUAAAUAUUAGUGGAGGCAGACUAUACAGUUUCAACAUCUUGGUAUAUAUUGCCAGUUUUCUAUACCAUCUGGAUUUUUUUUCUCUAUUUCUGUUGAAACAAGACUCUCAAGGAGUCACUGAUUUAAUUUUCUGUGUGAAUAAAAUUUUUUAUUUUUAUUUUUUGUGCCGAAACCCAGGAUCGUGAAUACAAUUUAAGAUUCAAUAUUUGAAAAGGAGCAGAGAGAAUAACUGAAGAGCCAAAGUGACUCCAUUUUAAAACAAUAAAAAAAGCAGCCUCCAUUUCCCAUAGCAGACCCGAGUCCUUGUAAAAGCAGGCAUUCAGGCAUUCCAGAGAUAUCAAAGCUUACCAGGGACAGCUAGCUCGGUAGACCAAGGACAGCACAGUAGAGAUUGCUAAGCAAAGUAACUCUAUACCCAAAGCUCCCCUGCUGUAAGCCCCGCUGUAACUCCCUGUACCCAAAGCUCCCCUGCUGUAAGCCCCGCUGUAACUCCCUGUACCCAAAGCUCCUGUGCUGUAAGCCCCCACUGAUGUAACUCUUUUUUCCUGCUGAUGUAGCCUGUUUUCCUUUAAAAACUCUCCCAAACAAAGACGGGGGCCUCACUCCUUCCUCCGCUGCGCCGGUUGGUUGGAUGGGGUCCCUGUCACGGCUUGUACUUUUAAAAUAAACCUUGCUUUUGCAGUUCGGUGUGAUCGGGUCACUGAUAGCUUCUUGGGGAUCUACUUACCUGGGCACAACAUCUGGGGGCUCAUCCUGGGAUCCUCAGAAGCCCCCAGAGGCCUUAUCCCCGAAGGUUUAUACCAGUUGACUGGGAAAUGUUCCACCCCCACGAGAGAAGGCGGUGGGACAACAGGAGGAGCUGCCCCAGGGGCCAGCUCAGUCUGCUCGGAGUCGCGGGGGAGCCACUCCCCAGCCAGAUACCACGGCGGCUCUGCCUCUUAGGCUGGAGCCCCAUGGCACAAGGUAAGGAGAGACUCCGUGUCUGUUGCCAGGCUCUGCUACCGGGUCUCAAAGCGGGGGCACGCAAGAUUGGCGCAAAAUUCGAAUUUGGCCUUAGAGACUGGCACGGACUAGGUAACUCUCCUCCCCCAGCCUUACCUCAAAAGUUGAACUUUAUCUUAGAACCAGGUCUGGUCCAAAGUCUACUCUCCCUAUCUUGUUAAUGAAACAAAUUGGGUAUCUCACCCUUCUGAUGGCUCUUCUGUUUUAUCUCGAGCCAGCCGGAAGAUAUUGCUUUGUAACUUGCUGAACUUAUUUUACAAUUUAUUUUAACAAAUUUCUGGGAGGUCAGUACUCAAUAAAACAGUAAUAGGUAAUUAGUACUUGUUUUAAAUAAAUACAAUUUUAAUUUAAAUAAAUUGAAAUAGAGCUAUAUAAUAUCAGCAUCUUAAGUCAUUUAGGUGUAACUGCUAAUUUAAAUUGGGUAAAGACAAAUGAGAUAAAUGUGUCUAAAUGUAAACUUUGGUACUCUCAACACUUUAUGUUCUAUAGAAAAUCUACUUGAAUUUGCUAACAUGUUUUCAUAGAUUGUCCAUAUAAAAAAUAGUUCAACAUCACUUAAAAGUAAUUAAUGCUGAAAUUUGAUGUGUUACUUUGUUUAGAAAUGUUGUCUUAAUUUGGAGAUUUUUAAUAGGUUAUUUAAAAAUGUAAAGCAAGGAAAUUAACAGAUGACAAACAUCACAAGUAUAAAAAUAUGUACUUAAUAAAAAAGGUUAAAAAAGUUUUUUAAAAUAAAAAAGACAUGGUUUAUAAAAAUUACUUCAUCCUGAUGGCUAGUUUACUCUAAACUAAAAUAAAAGUAAUAAAAUGUUUCAAGUAAGUUAAAAAGGGUGUGAAAAAGCCACAAAAAGUUAUAAAAAAAUUUUGGUUACAAAAGCUAUUACUGAUUCUCUGUUAAAGCAAUGAGUUAAAGUAAUCUAUUAUGUUCUCUUGAUGUCUCUGUUAAAUUCUAAUUGUUUAAAAACAACUGAGUUUUUAUUAAGAGCUAUAGGUUAUUUAAAUAUGUGUUUAUUUUCAAACCUUUAAAUAAUCACCUUGUAACAAUGAUCAAAUUUGGUCUAUAUUAUGUCAUGAUGUUAAAAAAUCUUAUUUCAACUAGAUAUUCUGGAUUUUGAGCCUUCUUGGCAUCCUUGACAGGCAUUCAAAAAAAUCAAAAAUCAAAGUUUCAAAAAAUUUAGACUCUAAAAUUUCCAGUAAAUUUUGAACUUCGGGUUUUCCAGUUUGGUCCCAACUGAAAAAAAUCAAAGAAUAUAUAUAUAUAUCUCAUCUUGUAGAGACACCAACUAAUUAGGCUAUUUGGAAUAUAUUUAAAGUACUGUCAGGAUGUAAAGUGGUGGGGCCGGCGCCGUGGCUCAAUAGGCUAAUCCUCUGCCUUGCGGUGCCGGCACACUGGGUUCUAGUCCCAGUUGGGGCGCCAGAUUCUGUCCCGGUUGCCCCUCUUCCAGGCCAGCUCUCUGCUAUGGCCCAGGAGUGCAGUGGAGGAUGGCCCAACUGCUUGGGCCCUGCACCCCAUGGGAGACCAGGAGAAGUACCUGGCUCCUGCCAUCGGAUCAGCGCGAUGCGCCGGCCGCAGUGGCCAUUGGAGGGUGAACCAAGGGCAAAAGGAAGACCUUUCUCUCUGUCUCUCUCUCUCUCUCACUGUCCACUCUGCCUGUCAAAAUAAAUAAAUAAAUAAAUAAAAAGAUGUAAAGUGGUGCUAAAUUUUAAGUUUCUAUAAUAUAAAAUGGUAUUAAUACAAAUGUCUAAAAAUUAAAAAGUCUAAUGAUCUUGUGUUACUAAACAUAAUGGUCAUCUUGGUAAGGGGGACCCAGAGGCCUAAAAGAGUUAAGUGUGCCUUGUGAAAUCCUGCAGGUGCUUUCAAAAAUGCUAUGUAAAGUAAACAAGUGUCUCUUGUUGCUUGACAAGUUUGUAAUUUUAAAUAUGACAACUUAAGGUCUUUUGUCAUCCACAGUUUUGUAUAUCAGAUUUACUGCUCGUAAAACUAAAGUGUUGUUGGUUCUGUGUUUAACUGUCCUCCUAUAGGUUACAAUGGACUUUUUCCAGAAACAUCUAUUGUAUUCCGUUUUUUGGGAUGACUCUGUAAACUGAUAAAGCCAAUAAUGUAUUACAAGUACCAACUAAAAAAAAAGUAUAGUUAACUAAGGUUACUAAGAUCAAAAAGUAAUUCAAAUCAAUUGGUAAUUUGUAAAAAAAAAAAAAAAAAGAAGGGUUAAAAAUUUUAACAGCUAUUACUGAAACUGCUUUAUUGUUCUGAUAUAUGUGACCCUGUAGUUUGAUGUGAAACUAAAAACAUUUUAUAUACUUGUGCUUAAAUUUGCUGGACAAGCUACACCAUGUUGGAUAUUUAAGAGAUGUUUCCGAGUACAUAUAUUCUUAAAAUUUGUAAAGGACAUUGAACCUUCUGGUAAGUGUUUUCCUAAGUUGUUGUCUAAUGAUUAAAUCUGCUUGCUAAGUUUUCAUUUGAUAUUACUCUUAAAAUGUUUAUGCAUGGAAGAUCUGCCCUGCCUUUUUGACCCUAUUGCCAUAUAUGAUUAUUCCUUGUGAGAUUACUUAAUUACUUAAAUUUAAAACUAGCAUAGGAAAUCAAAGCCACUGCCAGAGUAACAUAUCACAGAGUAACAUAUCUGUUUUGCCUCUGGUGGUGCAAGGUUUUUAAGCAUGGCUGGUAACUGGUAAGAUUUCAUAGUGACAAUCUGGCAGUAUCCUUGCAUAGCUAUUUGGGUAAGGACAUAAGUCAGUUCUGUUAAAGGUCAACCAUGUUCAGAAAUCAGAGUAACUCAGCCCAUCUAAAUAUUCAUCAGAAACAUGCCUAUAACUAUAGACUUCUUGUCUAGGAAACAAAAAUUAGAGGUGGGACUGAGCACUCCCUUGACUUGCAUUCUCUGGUCUGAUUUAACAAGAACCAGGAGAAAAAAGAGAGCUGGACAUCAAAAGCCAUGUAAAGAUGGGUGGCAGGCCUAUUACAGGAAGCUCUGUGCAGUGAUCUGCCCUCAGGAAGACCCAACAGGCCAGUCUACUGCGGUGGCUUCUGAUGAGGUAAACCUGGGCUUCAGCAGAAGUCAGCUUAUAAAGAGCCCUGGCAGCUCUGCCAGCCAAGAGUUGGGUCACUAAAAAUGGACCUGCCCUGGAGUCGAAGGACUUCAGGUCAGAGCCACAGAUCUUAUUGACUCUAAACUGAAAAGCCCUUCACUUAGCCCAGCCUCCAAAGUGACCGCCACUGUUGAGAGAAUGGCCAAGUAGGGUCAGUAACAUUACAGACAGAGCUGUAAAUUUCCUGUUGGAGAUGCCACCUGCCUUUACCUGGCCAGCUCUCCUCCCAGGCCAAGUAAGUAAUAAAAGUCAACAGAGUGCCUUCCCCAAGGAGGUUCACACCUCCCUUAAAAUGUACCCUGUGUAAAAAGAUAGAUAGGUCUAGGCCCCUUAACUUACAAGGCCUAAAGCCCACCAGGUUAUUAUCAAGCCCCUUCUAUCAGGUUCUCUUUGCCUCUCACUCGGAAAACUUAUUUGUAACUUGGACAACACCUUUCUUGACUCCUCUAAUAGCAACUCUGUCCUUUGUUCUGGAUCCUGCAUGGCCCUCUCCUGGGCCUCAUUCCUUUGUAAUUUUGUUGCUUAUUAAAGUCAGUGGUAUACAGACAUUCUGUACAUAUCCUGUGGGGACAGCAGUAGUAUCUCUUAAACAGUAUUACCAUAAGUAGUGUACUUCAAAAUGUAAAUUACAUUGUUUAAAACUGUGACUUUAACAUCUGUGUAAUUAGUGCAUAUGGUAUCUACUCUCCAUUAUCAAGAUAAUUCAUUAUUAGGUAAAUUUGGCUAGUAGGGAGUACAGUUCUGUGAGCAGUGUUUCCUGUUAAAUAUCAACUACUCUCAGUUACACAUAGCAGCAGGAGCUCUGCCUUGUUCGGGAAAAGUAAAUGCACAAAGUUAAAAAGUUAAAGACAUGCUGCAAAUAACUAGUCAUUAUUCUGUGUAUAAAAGCAGAGAAAAAAUUAAACGCUAAGAAUUUCUGUAAAUUCUUUGUUCUCUGUAGUAGAUUGCUGUUUAUACUCCCAGCGUGUGUGUACUGAUAAUCCUCUCCCACACUAAUGAGUGACUUUUCUCCUGGUCUUGGCUGCAAUUUGCUUUAUUCUCACCCUGUCUCUAUACUACAGUGUCUGUUUAAGUGUUUACAGCUGGUGACAGAGCAAACCAAGGCCUUCGGCAACCAGGCGGUCAACCAAAUGCUACUACAGGAAUGUGCUCGGCUCCCCGCCCAGGAGACAGCAGCUUAAGACAUCGCCCCAUGGCAGCGAAGAGUGCCUCGUUGCCCCACAUCAGGAGGGUUGGCUCUGAAGGUGGAUUGUCAUCCCUCUGCCCCUCCUGGACUUUUGAAACUGAUGUGGUGGAAAAGAAUGCUGCUCUUAUGCCGAUCACUCGGGCCUAAUAAAAGAUAACAUGGCUGGCUAAGGUCAGGAAAGUUCUGGAAAAGUGCCAAAGAAACCGGGAGGCCUCCCAGGGAUGGUUCGAGCUUGGUUUAAUUUCUCUCCAUGGCUCACCGCCCUCCUAUCAGAAGUCAUAGGGCCCAUUAUCCUUCUGAUUUUAAUUUUAACCAUUGGCCCUUACAUUAUUAACAAACUUGUACAGUUUAUGAAACAGAGACUGGGCACCAUUCAAUUAAUGGUCCAGCGGUCCCAGUAUAAACCCGUAAAUGUUUGUAAAACCUAUAAACUGUCCGUCCAAAACCCAUGAUUGGGUUUUUCAAACAUGUACAAAAAUAAGGGGGGAAUGAAGAGCCAAAGUGACUCCAUUUUAAAACAAUAAAAAAAGCAGCCUCCAUUUCCCAUAGCAGACCCGAGUCCUUGUAAAAGCAGGCAUUCAGGCAUUCCAGAGAUAUCAAAGCUUACCAGGGACAGCUAGCUCGGUAGACCAAGGACAGCACAGUAGAGAUUGCUAAGCAAAGUAACUCUAUACCCAAAGCUCCCCUGCUGUAAGCCCCGCUGUAACUCCCUGUACCCAAAGCUCCCCUGCUGUAAGCCCCCACUGAUGUAACUCUUUUUUCCUGCUGAUGUAGCCCUUUUUUCCUUUAAAAACUCUCCCAAACAAAGACAGGGGCCUCACUCCUUCCUCCGCUGCGCCGGUUGGUUGGAUGGGGUCCCUGUCGCGGCUUGUACUUUUAAAAUAAACCUUGCUUUUGCAGUUCGGUGUGAUCGGGUCACUGAUAGCUUCUUGGGGGUCUACUUAUCUGGGCACAACAAUAACCAAUCUACUAUCCCAUUGUAGCAAAUGAGGAAAUAGCUUUUCUGUGAGAGUUACGAUUUGUCCAAAGUCAAAUAUCCCAUAGAUGUCAAAGCGAAAUCUGAUAUUAAGUCUCCAGAUUUAUAGUUCAAUACUCCACCCUGCAUUCCAAGUUGUUUUGACUCUACUACUAAAUUUAGGGUGAGAAAACAUGUAAUGAAGAACUUUUAAAGGUUUCUUUCCUUACCUGACAU